UCAUCAUUCUGUGCCAGACCGUGAAGGAUCUACAGUCAGUCUUUGCACCGUUCACUCCAGCCUCCAAACUGUGUAAACUGGUAACUGUUGUCUUUGCUUCCUCCUAGUCUGGAUCCCGGCCGUUCGUGUCCACCUGCUCCCGCUGUUCUUGGAUCAAAGAACCCUGGCUGCAACAACUCACCUGGUCAGUCUCCCCCGUUUCCUGGACGCCGCAGCCUCCAGAACAGCUGCAUGCCACCCAGAGCUUCCCAGCGUCCAACUCCCCCUCAUCUAGGUCUACACCUGGUCCCCUUUCAGUCCAUUCACGCUGAACCUCAGCACGAGCAUUCCAGACUAAGUGAAAGUAGCAGUUCCUCCUGAAGGUCAGAGAUUGCAGCAUCUGAGGGCCUCUUCAAAAGAAGACGUAGUUGAUGAAGACGUUCUGGAGCAGGACCAGAAAGACCACGACCAAGCAGCCUUGAGAUCUUAGGCAGCGUCUCCCUCAGGUCCCUCUCUAUCUCCCCACAUAUCCACCAACCACUGGAACACAUCUCCAAAGUUCUGCUGGACCAGCUCAGCUUCCCCUCAGAAGAAGUGCUGCCACCUGCCAGAUGAAGGAGCCUUUUGAGAGGCAGCUGGCAUCGUGAUUGGACUGUACUUUGGUCUGUUCCAAUCCAGCUUCAGCUCCAGAGACGGCAGGCGGGACGAGUCAAUGGAGGCCGGGUGGAUGAAGACAUGCAGCUGAGUACAAUCCAGAAAACAACAGAGGAGGAGUGCAGCAGCCCAGAGCCAGAACAACCAGAGUAGCAUGACCAAAGAACUACAGACUCUUCACAACCUGCUCAAACUCUUGGUACAGGACCUCACCACACGGGUCAAGAAGGUUUCUGUCUCAUUUCUACUCUGAAGCUCACCUUCUCCUGCUCAAACUGCUGACAAAUGUUUCUGCUGCUCUAAAGUCUGGUCUCCAGAACUUCCUAAAAACUCUCAAAGUCUCUUCUGCUGCAGGUUGCUUUGUAGAACUGUUCCAGAAAACCUCACUAAACCACAUGGAGGAGCCUCAAGAUAGUCGUCCAAAUGAAACCAUACAAAAACCAAACUAGUACAACCCAAACGCUAAAGUCUCCUGCAGCCUACCAGAGAACCUCUGAGAACAGAGAAUCAGGACAGGAACUCUUACCUUCUGGACAACCAACGCUGGUUCUCAAACAAGAAUACAGAAUGUGUCUGACCAAAAACCUCUGAAGACUCACUACAGCCAAGAUAAAGACACAACUCAGCUGCACCAAAUCCACUAAUCACUGCACACAUUAGCACCAUGUGCUAACUGUGACUAAAGAACCACAUUUACCAAGACAACUAUCCAGUACAAAGCCCUAAAACACACCAAGAAACACAUUAAAGAUGAUUUUACUGCUGGAAGCUGCAAGCCAACGCCUAAAGAACAAACUGAAGCAAUGGAGCCAAACCCGGUUCAGUGGUGAAGAGAAACAGAGGAAAUGUUUGGCUGCAGCCACAUGAAGCAGGAAGACACUGAGCUGCUCAGGUGUUCCUGACAACACCAAGCAGCCACCUGGACAGCCAAUAGGAACACAGCCACAUGGACAGCCAAUAGGAACACAGCUUCCUGGAAAUCCAGAGGGCUGGCUUAGUCAAGGAAAUUUAAUUUAAAGUUGAAGCAGAAAGUUAACAAAGAAAGUUGAAAACCACCUUCUGAUCCCUGAAAUCUCUGAGUUUUCACACAAAGAACACCUGAACAUGUCAAACUGGUUCCAUAGUAGAACCGUCACACACUGUUAUCUACAUCUCUCUACAUCAUUUUGCCAUGAAUGAGUGAUACAUCUUCAGAACAGGAUCUUUCAGUAAAUCUGGGACUUUUGGAUGAAGUAUUUGACCAGAUGUCUCCAGAUUACCACAGGAUUCCAAACCUGUUUGUAGUUUUGUGAAAUUUUGGACGACAUACUAAACUAUGACAUUUUUGUGACAUUUUACCUUGAAAAACACUCCAGAAAGGUUUUAUUUGAAAAAAACUCAUCAUGAAUUUUGGCGCAAAAAAAAAUGCAAUUUUUCAACAUGUUGUAAAAACGUGCCAUAUGAUGAAAUAAUGUAAAGGAGGCUGUGAAAAACACUCCAGAAAGGUUUUCGUUGAAAAAAAAAAUCAUCAUGAAUUUUGGUGCAAAAAAAACGCCUUACUAUACUAUGUAGAAAAAAAAUGCGAUUUUUCAAACAUAUUGUAAAAACGUGCCAUAUGAUGAAAUAAUGUAAAGGAGGCCAUGAAAAACACUCCAGAAAGGUUUCCGUUGAGAAAAAAAAAAAGAAUUUUGGCGCAAAAAAAACGCCUUACUAUACUAUGUCGAAAAAAAAUGCGAUUUUUCAACAUGUUGUAAAAACGUGCCAUAUGAUGAAAUAAUGUAAAGGAGGCUGUGAAAAACACUCCAGAAAGGUUUUCGUUGAAAAAAAAAAUCAUCAUGAAUUUUGGUGCAAAAAAAACGCCUUACUAUACUAUGUCGAAAAAAAAUGCGAUUUUUCAAACAUAUUGUAAAAACGUGCCAUAUGAUGAAAUAAUGUAAAGGAGGCCGUGAAAAACACUCCAGAAAGGUUUUCGUUGGAAAAAAAAAAAAAAAAUUUUGGCGCAAAAAUACGCCUUACUAUACUAUGUCGAAAAAAAAUGCGAUUUUUCAAACAUGUUGUAAAAACGUGCCAUAUGAUGAAAUAAUGUAAAGGAGGCUGUGAAAAACACUCCAGAAAGGUUUUCGUUGAAAAAAAAAAUCAUCAUGAAUUUUGGUGCAAAAAAAACGCCUUACUAUACUAUGUCGAAAAAAAAUGCGAUUUUUCAAACAUAUUGUAAAAACGUGCCAUAUGAUGAAAUAAUGUAAAGGAGGCCGUGAAAAACACUCCAGAAAGGUUUUCGUUGGAAAAAAAAAAAAAGAAUUUUGGCGCAAAAAUACGCCUUACUAUACUAUGUCGAAAAAAAAUGCGAUUUUUCAAACAUGUUGUCAAAACGUGCCAUAUGAUGAAAUAAUGUAAAGGAGGCUGUGAAAAACACUCCAGAAAGGUUUUCGUUGAAAAAAAAAAUCAUCAUGAAUUUUGGUGCAAAAAAAACGCCUUACUAUACUAUGUCGAAAAAAAAUGCGAUUUUUCAAACAUAUUGUAAAAACGUGCCAUAUGAUGAAAUAAUGUAAAGGAGGCCGUGAAAAACACUCCAGAAAGGUUUUCGUUGGAAAAAAAAAAAAAAAGAAUUUUGGCGCAAAAAUACGCCUUACUGUACUAUGUCGAAAAAAAAUGCGAUUUUUCAAACAUGUUGUCAAAACGUGCCAUAUGAUGAAAUAAUGUAAAGGAGGCUGUGAAAAACACUCCAGAAAGGUUUUCAUUGGAAAAAAAAAAAAAAAGAAUUUUGGCGCAAAAAUACGCCUUACUAUACUAUGUCGAAAAAAAAUGCGAUUUUUCAAACAUGUUGUCAAAACGUGCCAUAUGAUGAAAUAAUGUAAAGGAGGCUGUGAAAAACACUCCAGAAAGGUUUUCGUUGAAAAAAAAAAUCAUCAUGAAUUUUGGUGCAAAAAAAACGCCUUACUAUACUAUGUCGAAAAAAAAUGCGAUUUUUCAAACAUGUUGUAAAAACGUGCCAUAUGAUGAAAUAAUGUAAAGGAGGCCGUGAAAAACACUCCAGAAAGGUUUUCGUUGAAAAAAAAAAUCAUGAAUUUUGGCGCAAAAAAAACGCCUUACUAUACUAUGUCGAAAAAAAAUGCGAUUUUUCAAACAUGUUGUAAAAACGUGCCAUAUGAUGAAAUAAUGUAAAGGAGGCCGUGAAAAACACUCCAGAAAGGUUUUCUUUGAAAAAAAAAAUCAUCAUGAAUUUUGGCGCAAAAAAAACGCCUUACUAUACUAUGUCGAAAAAAAAUGCGAUUUUUCAACAUGUUGUAAAAACGUGCCAUAUGAUGAAAUAAUGUAAAGGAGGCUGUGAAAAACACUCCAGAAAGGUUUUCUUUGAAAAAAAAAUCAUCAUGAAUUUUGGCGCAAAAAAAAACGCCUUACUAUACUAUGUCGAAAAAAAAUGCGAUUUUUCAAACAUGUUGUAAAAACGUGCCAUAUGAUGAAAUAAUGUAAAGGAGGCCGUGAAAAACACUCCAGAAAGGUUUUCGUUGGAAAAAAAAAAAAAAAGAAUUUUGGCGCAAAAAAAAACGCCUUACUAUACUGUCGGGGAAAAAAAUGCGAUUUUUCAGCAUGUAAAAACGUGCCAUAUGAUGAAAUAAUGUAAAGAGGCCAUGAAAAACCUAGUUUUAAUGACGUACUUUUACAGGUUGUAGUCGAUGGAUGGCCACAAAUUUUGAUCCAAAUUUGACCUUGCAUGAAUAUAAGCAGCAGGAAGCAUCAUUAAAAUUCUACUUCCUGUUUCUUUACAUUCAUGUUAAAGACUUUUUUUCAGAUUAAAUGACUUUAAGCUUUCAAAAGAUGCUGAAACUCUGAAAGUGGCUCAAACUUCAUUUUACUGCAGAACGAGUGAACUUUAUACUUUACGUGGAUGUUGUUGACCUGAUGUUGGACUUUAACGUAUCGUAAAGUGUAAAUAUUCGACAGUUUGCUCUUGAAGACAAACAAAUGAGGCGUGUUUAGAGAAAUCUUUCCUUGUUUUUAUUUAUCACACAUUUAGAAAAUGAACCACACUAUACAAAUGUCCACCGUUCAGUGAUGAAUCCUGCGUGAACCAAAGCAACCGGAGCAGAUGACGAAGCCGCUCUGAUUGGCCCACUGACUCUUUAAUUUUACUCGUUAACUCUUUUCAGGUGGUCGCCAUGGUGCAGGUAGGCAGUAGCAUGCAGAAACCUUUGGAUGCAGCGGCGGCUCUCCUCUGAUUGGCUAAUUCAUUAUGUUUUUUUUGCGCUAUGUAAAGACGGGAGGCGGGGCUUAACUCCUCACAGUCUGUAUUUACAACGUGACGACAGGGAGGCGGGACCAGAGUUCUGCCCAGCGACACGCUCACAACAUGGCCGCUGCUCGGAGGGAUCCACACUUUAUUACUCAGACAUAAAAUUAAAAAUUAAAAAAACCAAAGAAAAGAGAACAAAUAAAAGGGAGGAGAGCCGGCGGACAGCUGGGAGGAGCUCAGGCCAGGUAGCUGUAGGUGUCCUUCUCCCCGUCCACUCGCUCCAGAUACUCCUUCUCUAUGAGGAUGUCGAUGCAUUUCUGGCCACAAGAGGGAGACAAAAUGCCGUCAGUAUAUACAGACUAGACAAGCACAGUCUGGUUCAUACGUCCACAGAGAUCCAUAAAAACACUCAUUUAGACACAUUUUAAUGCUAAUUUUGAAGUUUGCCAAGUUCAAGACGAGACGACAAACUAAACUAUGUCGUCCGAAAUGUCUCAAAAACGGCAUAGUCAAUUUAGUACGUCGUCCAAAAUGUCUCAAAAACGUAACUUUUCAGGAGGUUAAAGUUGGAAUUUUAGGAUUUCUUGAUCGAACUUUCAGAUGAUUUCCUCAAAACUUUUCCUGAACAGAAUGUUGUUUAACUUCUCAUUUUGACAGCUGUUAGAAUUUCAAGCUGGUUAGAAAAGUUAGAAAAAAACUCUAAGAAUUCAGGAAUUUAACAAAGAUUGAGGAUUUUAAAGUGCGUCCUGAAGCUCUCACCUUGAUGACGGGGACUCUGGGCUUGAACCGGGACGACAGCUGGUUCAGGACUUCAGCCAGGAGCUGCUGGUGCUUCAGGACCUUCCUCAUCUUCAUGAUCCUCACGAUGGCGGCCUGAAAUCCAAAAACAACCAAAACACAACCGUUUAUCUUCGUCCUCAGAGUCACAAAAACGCAAAAACAUUUAAUUCAACUCUUUUCUGUGAACAAAAUUAAAAAAAAAAAAAAAAAACAAUAUUUAAAUCACAAGCUGCAGAAGGAAAAUGAGCCUUGAAGUAUGUAAAUAUUCAAGUAAACCAGUUUUAGUGCAUUUUUUUUCUAAAAGUGAACCAAAGCUUUAGUGUAAAAAAUAAAACAAAAAAUAAAAAAUUGAUCAGAUUUUUAGUGUGAAAAUAAUAAAUUAAAGCAGAGUUUCAGAGCAGAAUGAUUCAACAAAAAUGAACGAUUUUUGUGAAAAAGUUUUAGAGCAUUUUUUAAAAAAUUUGAUUAACAUUAACCAGCGUUUUAGUGAAAAAUCUUAAGAAAAUAAAAUUGAACUAGAGUUUUAGUGUGAAAAUAUUAAAAUUAACCACAGCUUUAAAGCAAAAUUAAUAAAUUUAACUAGAAUUGUAGUCAAAAUAUUCAAGUGAAUUAAAGUUUUAGUGCAAAAUUAUUAAAUUAAAAUUAACCAGAGUUUUAGUGUAAAAUAAGAAAAUAAAAGUAAACCAGUUUUAGUGUUAGAUUUUACAUUAAACUGAACGUUUUAGUGCAAAAUUAUUCAAUUAAAGUUAAACAGUUUUAGUGUAAAAUUAUUCAAUUAAAAUUACAGUUUUAGUGUAAAAUUAUUCAAUUAAAAUUAAAUACAGUUUUAGUGUAAAAUCAAAAACAAAGUAAACCAGAUUUAGUGCAAAAUUAUUCAAUUAAAAUUAAAUACAGCUUUAGUGUAAAAUUAUUAUAUUUCAAUUAACUAGACUUUUAGUGUAUAAUCAGAUUUUUUUUAAGUAAACCAGAGUUUAAGUGAAAAUAUUAAAGUCAAUUAAAGUUUUAGUGCCAUGUUGUUGUCCAGUUGUUUUGUUUUUUUAUUCUUUUGAUCUGAACAUCACAAUAAAAGCCUGUGUUUUGUUGUUUAUUAAAUAUAUAUCUAAUAUAUAUAAAUGUAAACAUGAGCGGGCCGCUCUGACCUGGAUGAGGAGCUUCCGGUCCUCCUCGAUGUUCUUGUGAGUUGUCUCCUGCUCCUGUUUCUGCUCCGUCUUCAUCGGGACGUUGAUGUUCACCCUCAGCUUCUUACUGCAGAAACAAACAGUCGAUGUUCAGCAACGGCUUCGUCUUUUUAUCGUUGUGAUUAAAAAAAAAAAAAAAAAAAGCAAAGUUUCUCACUUCUUGUAUCCGAGGAAGAGCUUGAUGACAGUGUCGGGUUUGAACUCCACCUCGUCCACGUUGGCGUUCUCGUCCUCCAGAACCUAAGGGUUUGGAUUGAAGGUCAGAGCUGAGUCUAGAAAUCGUUAAAUAAUGAUUAAAAACAUGAAAACCACUGAAAUCUGAGUUUAAAACCUGUCUGGCGCCACCUAGUGCUUCACUGAGAAAAGAUUCAAAGAAAAUGUGAUCAAAUCUCCUCAGAAUCAGAGGAAUUUUAAUUCAGUAGAUUUAAUGAAUCCAUGCUGAGUUUUACCUUUUCAUCAAUAAUUUUUGUGUUUUGAAAGUUUACCCCGAAUACACUUUUUAAGGACUAUUUUCCUGCAGGGUCUCUGAUCUACCGCACGGCUCUAGAGAUGAUCCAGACAUUUGUGUAAAUUUUACUCACCAGCAGCUUCGACUUUAACAAGAUCUGCAGAACUUGAACCAAAAUGUCCUGAAAACAAAACGAAGAAACCGUCGGUAAGCAAACAAAUAGAUGAGUUAGAAGUGGUUUAAGGUGUAAAACGAGUGUUUGUUUCUUCGUACAGUUUUGAUCUGUGUGCUGUCAGUGAGCUGCUGCACGGUGUAGCUGUCCUCCGUGUUGUACUGCAGUAGGAUGGCCAUCUGGAAGGUGGAGGCCUGCAGUGUGUACCUGCCAACAACAAUAACAAAAGGCUCAGUACAACUUUCAAGCACAGAGACUUCAAUGUUUCUGGGUUUUGGCGCCCCCUGCCCACCUGUUCUUGAAGCAGUUGGUGACCAGCUCUCCUUUGGACAGGUGGUACAGCCAGGUGAGCUUCCUGCCGCUGUGUCUGCUGGCGUAGAACGCUGUGAAGCGCUGAUAGCUCCGCUCCAGCUGCAUAAGAACAGAUAAAAGAGGAGGAUUCAGAGCUGUGGUUCUCAAACUGAGGCACUAGGUGGCCUCUCUAAAGCCUCUGAAGGUCUCCAGAACUGAAAACAUCUCUGUAGCCUUGAGUAAAAAGAGAUUAAAAGACGGGAAAAGCUGUUUUUUUUUUUAGCUUUGAAUGGAGUUCAGAUGCUGGAACAAACAAUCCAACAAGACUGUGAGCCUUAAUAGUUGCAUUUUUAUGCCUGUAAGUUAAAUUUCUAGAGAAAAUCAACCUGUUUACUUCUUCCAGAAACUUUCAGAAAUCCCAUGGUAACCAUAAGAAGUUCUAAAAUCUCCAGAUAUCCCGUGCUAACCAUAAGAAAUCCCAAAUUCCCCAGAAAUUUUGUGCUAAUCAGAAAAAGUUCUAAAUUCUCCAGAAAUCCCAUGCUAGCCAGAAGUAGUUCUAAAUUCUCCAGAUAUCCUGGAACAAGCAAACCAAUAAGACUGAAAUUUUAAAGUUGCAGGUUUAUGACUAUGUUAGUUUUCCUCGUUGAAGAAGGCCCAAUUGUGUACCCGCAAAACUAAAAACUCUGCAAAAACACAUUUUUCCCCCCACAGCAGCAAAAGAAUGAAACCUUUUGCAGCUUUUAAGUCAUGCAUUUUGUUUCACUCAAUCAUUAAAUCUGCUCUUCACAGGGUUGUAAAACUGAGUUGUCCAGACGUUGUCUUACCUCUGAAGGCAGAGCGAAGGUGCAGGACUGCUGGAAAGGCCAAGACCCGGAGCUCAGGACCUGGAUACUGAAGUCCACUGUAAAAGAAAUCUAAUUAAUCAGCUGCAGUUCGUCAGGCAAGAAGAGACAGAAAAUUCAAUUUACUGGCUGCACGUCCUUAAAGACACAACCAGCCUCUUAAUCCAUCUCUAUACUUUCACAGUAAAAGGUCUGGUGUGUUUUUUAAAGUUUCUACAAGUGAAUUAUAUUUACCUGGUUCUGCUUUUAAUUCCACAGUCAUUAAAAAUGUAUUUCAACACACACGCGCGCGCGCGCGCACACACACACACACACACACACACACACACACACACACACACACACACACACACACACACACACACACACACA